rnacentral:rRNA from 1 species
AGUGAUGUAUGAGUUAGUGGCGGACGGGUGAGUAACGCGUGGAGAACCUGCCGUAUACUGGGGGAUAACACUUAGAAAUAGGUGCUAAUACCGCAUAAGCGCACAGCUUCGCAUGAAGCAGUGUGAAAAACUCCGGUGGUAUACGAUGGAUCCGCGUCUGAUUAGCUGGUUGGCGGGGUAACAGCCCACCAAGGCGACGAUCAGUAGCCGGCCUGAGAGGGUGAACGGCCACAUUGGGACUGAGACACGGCCCAAACUCCUACGGGAGGCAGCAGUGGGGAAUAUUGCACAAUGGGGGAAACCCUGAUGCAGCGACGCCGCGUGAGUGAAGAAGUAUUUCGGUAUGUAAAGCUCUAUCAGCAGGGAAGAAAUACUGACCUUACGGUCAGCAGACGGUACCUGACUAAGAAGCCCCGGCUAACUACGUGCCAGCAGCCGCGGUAAUACGUAGGGGGCAAGCGUUAUCCGGAUUUACUGGGUGUAAAGGGAGCGUAGACGGCAGCGCAAGUCUGAAGUGAAAUCCCAUGGCUUAACCAUGGAACUGCUUUGGAAACUGUGCAGCUGGAGUGCAGGAGAGGUAAGCGGAAUUCCUAGUGUAGCGGUGAAAUGCGUAGAUAUUAGGAGGAACACCAGUGGCGAAGGCGGCUUACUGGACUGUAACUGACGUUGAGGCUCGAAAGCGUGGGGAGCAAACAGGAUUAGAUACCCUGGUAGUCCACGCCGUAAACG